rnacentral:rRNA from 1 species
UCUCGUGACUGCGUGCCUUUUGAAGAAUGAGCCUGCGAGUUUGCGGUGUGUUGCGAGGUUAACCCGUGUGGGGAAGCCGUAGCGAAAGCGAGUCCGAAUAGGGCGUUUUUAGUAGCACGCUCAAGACCCGAAGCGGAGUGAUCUAGCCAUGGGCAGGUUGAAGCGGAGGUAAGACUUCGUGGAGGACCGAACCCACCAGGGUUGAAAACCUGGGGGAUGACCUGUGGUUAGGGGUGAAAGGCCAAUCAAACUCCGUGAUAGCUGGUUCUCCCCGAAAUGCAUUUAGGUGCAGCGUCGUGUGUUUCUUGCCGGAGGUAGAGCACUGGAUAGGCGAUGGGCCCUACCGGGUUACUGACCUUAGCCAAACUCCGAAUGCCGGUAAGUGAGAGCGCGGCAGUGAGACUGUGGGGGAUAAGCUCCAUGGUCGAGAGGGAAACAGCCCAGAGCAUCGACUAAGGCCCCUAAGCGUACGCUAAGUGGGAAAGGAUGUGGAGUCGCAGAGACAACCAGGAGGUUGGCUUAGAAGCAGCCACCCUUGAAAGAGUGCGUAAUAGCUCACUGGUCUAGUGAUUCCGCGCCGACAAUGUAGCGGGGCUCAAGCGUACCGCCGAAGUCGUGUCAUUGCAGUAUAUAGCCCCAACGGGUGCUGUGAUGGGUAGGGGAGCGUCGUCUGCCGGGUGAAGCGGCACUGGAAGGUAGUCGUGGACGGUUGACGAGUGAGAAUGCAGGCAUGAGUAGCGAUACAAACGUGAGAAACGUUUGCGCCGAUUGACUAAGGGUUCCUGGGUCAAGCUGAUCUGCCCAGGGUAAGUCGGGACCUAAGGCGAGGCCGACAGGCGUAGUCGAUGGAUAACCGGUUGAUAUUCCGGUACCCGCUGUGAAGCGUCAAACAUCGAAUCCAGUGAUGCUAAGGCCGUGAAGCCGCCCCGGAGCCUUCGGGCAAAGGGGAGUGGUGGAGCCGCUGACCCAAGUUGGUAGUAGGUGAGUGAUGGGGUGACGCAGGAAGGUAGUCCAUCCCGGGCGGUGGUUGUCCCGGGGUAAGGGUGUAGGACGUCGGGUAGGUAAAUCCGCCUGGCAAUAGUCUGAGACCUGAUGCCGAGCCGAUUGUGGUGAAGUGGAUGAUCCUAUGCUGUCGAGAAAAGCCUCUAGCGAGUUUCAUGGCGGCCCGUACCCUAAACCGACUCAGGUGGUCAGGUAGAGAAUACCGAGGCGUUCGGGUGAACUAUGGUUAAGGAACUCGGCAAAAUGCCCCCGUAACUUCGGGAGAAGGGGGGCCACAUCUGGUGAUGAGCUUUGCGCUCUGAGCUGGGGGUGGCCGCAGAGACCAGCGAGAAGCGACUGUUUACUAAAAACACAGGUCCGUGCGAAGCCGUAAGGCGAUGUAUACGGACUGACGCCUGCCCGGUGCUGGAACGUUAAGGGGACCGGUUAGCUCACUUUCGGGUGGGCGAAGCUGAGAACUUAAGCGCCAGUAAACGGCGGUGGUAACUAUAACCAUCCUAAGGUAGCGAAAUUCCUUGUCGGGUAAGUUCCGACCUGCACGAAUGGCGUAACGACUUCUCGACUGUCUCAACCAUAGGCCCGGUGAAAUUGCACUACGAGUAAAGAUGCUCGUUUCGCGCAGCAGGACGGAAAGACCCCGGGACCUUUACUACAGUUUGAUAUUGGUGUUCGGUUCGGCUUGUGUAGGAUAGCUGGGAGACUUUGAAGCAGGCACGCCAGUGUUUGUGGAGUCGUCGUUGAAAUACCAGUCUGGUCGUGCUGGAUGUCUAACCUGGGUCCGUGAUCCGGAUCAGGGACAGUGUCUGAUGGGUAGUUUAACUGGGGCGGUUGCCUCCUAAAGGGUAACGGAGGCGCCCAAAGGUUCCCUCAGCCUGGUUGGCAAUCAGGUGUUGAGUGUAAGUGCACAAGGGAGCUUGACUGUGAGACCGACGGGUCGAGCAGGGACGAAAGUCGGGACUAGUGAUCCGGCGGUGGCUUGUGGAAGCGCCGUCGCUCAACGGAUAAAAGGUACCCCGGGGAUAACAGGCUGAUCUUCCCCAAGAGUCCAUAUCGACGGGAUGGUUUGGCACCUCGAUGUCGGCUCGUCGCAUCCUGGGGCUGGAGUCGGUCCCAAGGGUUGGGCUGUUCGCCCAUUAAAGCGGUACGCGAGCUGGGUUUAGAACGUCGUGAGACAGUUCGGUCCCUAUCCGCUGUGCGCGUAGGAGUCUUGAGAAGGGCUGUCCCUAGUACGAGAGGACCGGGACGGACGAACCUCUGGUGUGCCAGUUGUUCUGCCAAGGGCAUGGCUGGUUGGCUACGUUCGGGAGGGAUAACCGCUGAAAGCAUCUAAGCGGGAAGCCUGCUUCGAGAUGAGGACUCCCACCCACUUGAUGGGGUAAGGCUCCCAGUAGACGACUGGGUUGAUAGGCCGGAUCUGGAAGCACAGUAAUGUGUGGAGGUGACCGGUACUAAUAGGCCGAGGGCUUGUCCUG